AAAAAGUAUUCAAGAGCCUUCAAACAUAAAAUAUAUUAUCAAACCAAGAGUAACAAAUAUCCAUAACGAGUACUAUUUUUAUCAAUUGAAAACUAUGAAAAAUUAAUUAAAAAGUAGUUACUACAAAAAUGCUUAUUUCAUUCAUCAAAUAAAAAUAAUAAUUUGAUGGUAUAUUUUAUUUCCCUCCAAAAUUGUCCAACUCAUAGCCACAUCACCUAAUUUAUUUUUAAUCUAUUUAUUUUUAUAUUUUAAAUGCCAACUCAUUCAUUCAACCAUCAUAUUACCUGUUAUAGCAGGUCAUAUGACAAAAACUCUCAACUUUUGUAACUUACAGGACUAAAAUUCUGAUUUUUAAACAUGGUGGACUAAAACUCUCAACUAGCAAACUUACAAGACUAAAAAACUCAUUUUGCCAUAAAAAUAAGUGAUGAACAAAAUUUACCUCCAUUGAAAGUAGGCUCAAACUCGGCCCGACUCACUAAAAAGUAGGCUCGGCUCAAAUAUAAUCGGGCCGAGCCAUCGGGCUUCGGUUAGGCCCGGUUGCCGGUCCUACCGAUGUGACCCAAGGCCAACUACCCGGAGCGAAGUAGGGGAUCAAUAUCAAAAAAUCCAGAAAUUAAUUAUAAAACGUAGCCAAUAACCUUAAUCGACUACUGAACACAGUCGAUUAAACCUUAAUCGACUAUUGAACGUUGUCGAUUAAGGGUCCAGCUUGUGCGGAUUUCUCUAUCCACUCCAUCCUCUGUUUAAUAUACCAAAAAACCCUAUAUCUGCCCCCCCAUCGUCACCACGCCAUCGCCACACCACACCAUCACCAUCCCCAACCAUUAAUGUCGUCCGCCUCACCACGUCCCCCUCCAACAUCAACAACCUCCCCACCGCCACCACUACCCACAGCCGCCGCCAUGCCAGAGUUUCCACAUCCAACCACCAACAAGUUAUUCCAAACAUAAAUCUCUCCGCUCUUGCAUUCAAUGGUAUGCACCACCUCACCGCUGAACUCCUCCGCCCCUUCAAUCUUUGAGAGAAGAAGAUAAAAAAUG
rnacentral:lncRNA from 1 species